AAAUAAGAAGUAAAAAAUUACAUUUAGUUUCGACCUAAAAAUUGGCCUUGCCCUUAUUUA
rnacentral:tRNA from 1 species